rnacentral:rRNA from 1 species
ACGCUCGACACCUACGGGAGGCGGCAGUUAGGAAUAUUGGGCAAUGGAGGAAACUCUGACCCAGCAACGCCGCGUGAAGGAAGAAGGUUUUCGGAUUGUAAACUUCUGAUCUAGGGGAAGAAGGAAGUGACGGUACCCUAGGAGAAAGCCACGGCUAACUACGUGCCAGCAGUCGCGGUAAUCUGAGCGGGCUGGCAAGGC